GGAGAGGAAAGNGGAAUUCCUAGUGUAGCGGUGAAAUGCGUAGAUAUUAGGAAGAACACCAGUGGCGAAGGCGACUUUCUGGACGAAAACUGACGCUGAGGCGCGAAAGCCAGGGGAGCGAACGGGAUUAGAUACCCCGGUAGUCCUGGCCGUAAACGAUGGGUACUAGGUGUAGGAGGUAUCGACCCCUUCUGUGCCGGAGUUAACGCAAUAAGUACCCCGCUUGGGGAGUACGACCGCAAGGUUGAAACUCAAAGGAAUUGACGGGGGCCCGCACAAGCGGUGGUGUAUGUGGUUUAAUUCGACGCAACGCGAAGAACCUUACCAGGUCUUGACAUUGAUGGACAGAACCAGAGAUGGUUCCUCUUCUUCGGAAGCCAGAAAACAGGUGGUGCACGGUUGUCGUCAGCUCGUGUCGUGAGAUGUUGNNNNAAGNCCCGCAACGAGCGCAACCCCUAUCUUAUGUUGCCAGCACUUUGGGUGGGGACUCAUGAGAGACUGCCGCAGACAAUGCGGAGGAAGGCGGGGAUGACGUCAAAUCAUCAUGCCCCUUAUGACCUGGGCUACACACGUACUACAAUGGGAGUUAAUAGACGGAAGCGAGAUCGCGAGAUGGAGCAAACCCGAGAAACACUCUCUCAGUUCGGAUCGUAGGCUGCAACUCGCCUACGUGAAGUCGGAAUCGCUAGUAAUCGCAGGUCAGCAUACUGCGGUGAAUACGUUCCCGGGCCUUGUNCACA
rnacentral:rRNA from 1 species